rnacentral:rRNA from 1 species
GUCCAGACUCCUACGGGAGGCAGCAGUGGGGAAUAUUGCACAAUGGGGGAAACCCUGAUGCAGCGACGCCGCGUGAGCGAUGAAGUAUUUCGGUAUGUAAAGCUCUAUCAGCAGGGAAGAAAAAAAGUCCUUUGGACUUUGGACGGUACCUGACCAAGAAGCCCCGGCUAACUACGUGCCAGCAGCCGCGGUAAUACGUAGGGGGCAAGCGUUAUCCGGAUUUACUGGGUGUAAAGGGAGCGUAGACGGCAGCGCAAGUCUGGAGUGAAAUGCCGGGGCCCAACCCCGGGGCUGCAUUGGAAACUGGCAGGCUGGAGUGCCGGAGAGGCAGGCGGAAUUCCUAGUGUAGCGGUGAAAUGCGUAGAUAUUAGGAGGAACACCAGUGGCGAAGGCGGCCUGCUGGACGGUGACUGACGCUGAGGCUCGAAAGCGUGGGGAGCAAACAGGAUUAGAUACCCCGGUAA